CCUGCUGAGAUCACCCUAACCUGGAAGAGGAAUUGGAACAACGAUACCGUGGAUACGGAGAUGGUGGACACCACCAGGCCUGCAGAGUGAAGUAUGAGAAACCUCUGUUCAGGCUGACGAGCCUUGUGUUGGACUGAACCAUAGAGGAUUUCUUCUGGUUCUCCCUUCCCCGGUGUUCCUUCAAGAGCUCCUGGUUUUUCAUUCUGUAAUUGGC